rnacentral:lncRNA from 1 species
GCAUUUCGCACUAAGGUGUUCCAUCCAAACAUCAACAGCAACGGGAGCAUUUGCCUCGACAUCUUGAAGGACCAGUGGAGUCCGGCACUAACCAUCUCCAAGGUUGGUGACUAUACUCUCACGCAUAGCAUCAUUUUUUUCCAUGGUUUCUAGGCUUGGAGCUGCCUACCAGCAUCUUCAACCUGCUGGGUUUCAGGUGCUGCUGUCCAUCUGUUCCCUGCUGACUGAUCCGAACCCCGACGACCCUUUGGUCCCCGAGAUAGCUCACAUGUACAAGACGGACCGGCACAAGUACGAGAACACCGCGAGGACCUGGACCCAGAGGUAUGCCAUGUAGUAUUUUCUCUACCUGGCCUUUGGGGUCGCUGCUGCGUUGUGUUGCCGGGACCUGGACGUGCCUCCAUGUAUUCGUUCUAUCCUUCCUGUAUAAUGAUGAACCGAAUUGGGUUUGCAGUACAGUGCCGCGUGUGGUGCUGAAUGCUGCUGUAUUGUGUCACUUGGAAGCUG